ACGAAAGAUGUGAAAGCGAGCGUGAGAGGCCGCAAGUGCCAGAUUUAGCAUUGCACGUGCAAAUUUACUCGAGAAGAUCCCCUUUGAGGUAUACUCGAAAAACGUCCAAAAAGUAUGGCUGAGUUAGAAACGAGGCGAAUUAACCGAGGCUUACGACAUCCGCAGCAGACAAACUUAAUGAAUUCCUGUCUGUGUGUGUUCUUUUGAUCUGUACUCCGUUUGUUCCAUUAUAGCUGGUUAUUAAAUCGAAGACGCCGAGGAAGAUGUUCACGCUUAACCGUUGCAGCGGAAUGAGAUGAAAGUUAAUUCGCCGAAGUUUUGAG
rnacentral:misc_RNA from 1 species